UUGUUUGGGGAGCAGGGGUGGUUAUGAAGUGAUUACAGUUUUUGGAAAUAAAAAUUUGUGUCUGCUAUUUAAACCAUUGGAAAGUAGUCAACAGACUCAACUAUCUUAACUUUGUUAUCAUAGUUUAAAGCUGUCAUCAGUGAGUAAAUGUUCAAGUAAUAAUGUUUUAAAAAUGGUAUGUGUGAAACAUACUGUUUUUUUUUUUUCUUCAAACUUAGAAGUUUAAUAAACCAACUACAGAAGAUUAUAACAAGGUGGUGAGUACUGCUAUCUGUGAGCAUAAGCCCUUUGGACAUUAAGGAAGAGCAAAGAAAGGAUAUGUUGUAAACGAGAGAGACCCGGGAAAGGGUGAUAAAAAGACAGCACAGAAAGUACCAGAAAGACUUAGAGGGGCCAGAAACAUGGGAGAACAGGUGCCUCCAAUGCUUCUGGAAAAGGGGGCAAGGGGGCAGGGGAUUUUUGGAAACAAGAGGCAGGGUAGGAGGGCCUUCAAGCCAAGAGUGGAGGCAGGAAUGGAGAGAUCACUCCAUUUCCAGGGAGAAAUGAGCAGUAGGAAAUGCAUGCCUGCCCUGCCCUCAAGAUCCAGAAAGGUCUGUGUCCGACCAAUUCAGACGGAGGCAAGGGAACUAGAAGGGCCAGUGAGGGAGGAGAGGGCUGUAGCAGUGGGCCUCGUUGGAUCCAACGUGGAGCUAAUGUCCAGGCACCCACAGGGUGUAAGUGGGGUAGCCAGCCCGUGUGACAGUGCGGAGAGACGAGGAGCAAGCUGCCACGGAAGGCCACAGCUUCAGAGGGAUCAGAGCCCCAGGCUGCCACCAGUGAGCUUCCACAGGACAUGGCCAACGUUUGCCGCAGAGCUAGCAUGAGGCAGAAUUUGGAAGACUUGGCUCCUUGGUAUAGAAGCAGCAUUGGCUGAGACAUGGUUCUUUGGAAACAGACAGGCAGGUCAGUCCACCAAAAUCAGAACAGAAAGAUGAGAAAGAUCCAGGAAAAAGGACCGCUCUGCCCCCGUCGGACACAGAGGACAUUGAACUUCCCCUCCUUAUCUGUCCCCCAAACCUGACUCUCGGUCCCAAGACUCCCUCCCAAGCCCAUCUCAUACGCGGUCUGUGUCCACCUAUGGAACUAUUAAGAAGAAGGACCACUCUGAUCUUUCUCCCGACCCCCCUCCUUCCCUUUAUCCCCUCCUUCCCUUUACUCCCCUCUACCCACCUCUAGCCCUCUGGUCCCAGGGGCCCUGACACUGCCUCUUCAUGAGGUUCAUCCACCGGAUGGGAGAGGGCACCCCCCCAACCUAUAUCCCUUUCUCUUCUGAUAUUUAUAACUGGAAGGCCCAACAUAAGUCCUUCUCUGUCCACCCCCAGAAUUUGAUUAGUCUCCUAGAAACUGUGUUUCUUACCCAUCAGCCUGCCUGGGUGGGU